UGGGGAAUAUUGGACAAUGGGCGCAAGCCUGAUCCAGCAAUGCCGCGUGUGUGAAGAAGGCCUUCGGGUUGUAAAGCACUUUUAUCAGGAGCGAAACGCUGUCGGCUAAUACCCGGCGGAACUGACGGUACCUGAGGAAUAAGCACCGGCUAACUUCGUGCCAGCAGCCGCGGUAAUACGAAGGGUGCAAGCGUUAAUCGGAAUUACUGGGCGUAAAGCGUGCGUAGGCGGUUUCUUAAGUCUGCUGUGAAAUCCCCGGGCUCAACCUGGGAAUGGCAGUGGAUACUGGGAGGCUAGAGUGUGUCAGAGGGUGGUGGAAUUCCCGGUGUAGCGGUGAAAUGCGUAGAGAUCGGGAGGAACAUCAGUGGCGAAGGCGGCCACCUGGGACAACACUGACGCUGAGGCACGAAAGCGUGGGGAGCAAACAGAAUUAGAUACCCUGGUAGUCCACGCCCUAAAGCGAUGCGAACUGGAUGUUGGUCUCAACUCGGAGAUCAGUGUCGAAGCUAACGCGUUAAGUUCGCCGCCUGGGGAGUACGGUCGCAAGACUGAAACUUAAAUGAAUUGACGGGGUCAUAGCUGUUUCC
rnacentral:rRNA from 1 species